CAGAAAAGCCCCAGGACUCACCGCUCCUGGUGCAGCCUCGGGGCUUUGGGGGUUUGUGCAGCGCCCCCCAGAUGGCGGGGAGCAGCGGGGAGCACCCCCACCCCCCCUGCCUGCAGGAGCGGUCGGAAAUUUACGUUAAUCAUGGGCCACGCUCCGCUGUGAUGGCUACAGAGUAUGAAGACUGAUAACGCUAGGCUGAUGAGAUGGGGCCUUAGUCUCCAACCAUACUGCUUUGAGGUGGAGCAUUGCCCCGGGACUAAGAAUGGUAACAUCUAUAGGGCAAGAUUGUGAGUGGCUCUAAAACCAACAGAUUAGCAUAAAACUAGGUAUAAAAAAAAAGCUCGUGCGUCGGGUGACUAGCAGGAAGGAGGGAACAGAACGGUCAUUGCUGUUCCAAGCCUGGACUCCCGGUGUGAGUGAGGAUCGGAUCCUGAUCAAGGGAUCUUCCCCGGUAAUCCCUCCCACAGCGUCAAGGGGGACGCCUGACUUUGCUGGAAUCACUUGGUGCACACCUGGCAUCAAGGGACUGUUGAUAAAUUGCCAACCCAUGUCUGUCUAUCUGUUGUUUUGAACAGCCCAGUGGCUGAUACCUUCGCAGUGCCCAAUUGGCCUGUGAGAGAAUCGAUCCAUCUAUCUGUUGUUAUUAUUUACUAUUGGCUCUUUAAUCCUGCAUUAUCUGCUUAUCACAUUUAUCUUUCUGUUAACUGUUGUGCGCGUGUAAGCUAUAAUAAAUUUGCCUUC